GACGAACGCUGGCGGCGUGCUUAACACAUGCAAGUCGAACGGUAAGGCCCUUCGGGGUACACGAGUGGCGAACGGGUGAGUAACACGUGGGUGAUCUGCCCUGCACUUCGGGAUAAGCCUGGGAAACUGGGUCUAAUACCGGAUAGGACUCCGGACUGCAUGGUCUGGGGUGGAAAGCUUUUGCGGUGUGGGAUGGGCCCGCGGCCUAUCAGCUUGUUGGUGGGGUGAUGGCCUACCAAGGCGACGACGGGUAGCCGGCCUGAGAGGGUGACCGGACACAGUGGGACUGAGAUACGGCCCAGACUCCUACGGGAGGCAGCAGUGGGGAAUAUUGCACAAUGGGCGCAAGCCUGAUGCAGCGACGCCGCGUGAGGGAUGACGGCCUUCGGGUUGUAAACCUCUUUCAGCAUCGACGAAGCGAAAGUGACGGUAGGUGCAGAAGAAGGACCGGCCAACUACGUGCCAGCCGCCGCAGUAA
rnacentral:rRNA from 1 species